AUACAGAGGGUGCGAGCGUUAAUCGGAAUUACUGGGCGUAAAGCGCGCGUAGGCGGUUUAUCAAGUUAGGCGUGAAAGGCCUGGGCUCAACCCGGGAAUUGCGCUUAAUACUGGUAGACUUGAGUCCGGGAGAGGGUGGCGGAAUUCCCAGUGUAGAGGUGAAAUUCGUAGAUAUUGGGAAGAACACCAGUGGCGAAGGCGGCCACCUGGCCCGGUACUGACGCUGAGGUGCGAAAGCGUGGGGAGCAAACAGGAUUAGAAACCCCAGUAGUCC
rnacentral:rRNA from 1 species